UGUCUGUAGUUCUAAAGUGCAGCUCAGAGGGGCUGUGUCUAUUUUGAGUGACACUGUUUUGUCAGACUUUUGUUUUGAGUUGAAUUUGGUUGGCUUUGUGUUAAUUAUGUCGCCACAGUUACUCGAAAUGGCAACAAAUGCAAUAGCUCCCUUCACGGGAUCAAGCCUCACGUUUUGAUAUAUAUGUUGUGAAGGGGGCAGGCAGAGGUCCAUCAUCUUGGCUUUGAGAUGAGACGAGGGCUGAGGAGAGGAGAGAUGAGGAGAGUAGAAGUACAGCAAGGCAAACUAAGGCCGUGUGAGACAUGUCAAAGUACUUUCUUCUCCACAGGCCCUCAUAGUGGGGUCUAAUUGCUGUGUGUAUCUACCGAGGCUGCGAAGAGCCCACGGCAGCCCUGUAGCGCCCCAGGCAGUGUGCUGAUAAGACUUCUCCCUCGCCUGAGCUGAACUGUCAUCUCUGGCCGCCGUGUGUUUUUAUAUUGCAGCAGAAAACUGAUUCUUCUUGAUUAAAAAGA